UACGUAGGGGGGCAAGCGUUGUCCGGAUUUAUUGGGCGUAAAGAGCGUGUAGGCGGCCAUACAGGUCAGCUGUGAAAACUCGAGGCUCAACCUCGAGACGUCGGUUGAAACCGUAUGGCUAGAGUCCGGAAGAGGAGAGUGGAAUUCCCGGUGUAGCGGUGAAAUGCGCAGAUAUCAGGAGGAACACCGAUGGCGAAGGCAGGUCUCUGGGCCAUAACUGACGCUGAGAAGCGAAAGCAUGGGGAGCGAACAGG
rnacentral:rRNA from 1 species